UACAUUAACUUACUUAACAUCACCUUUAUAGUGUCCACCACUGUGGAUGCAACUUUGUACUUCAACAACAUCAGCCCUAAAUAUCCCAUUUCUCUUGAUAUCAAGUGCAUCUGUAACAUACAGAAUCAUAAUUAGAAAUUUGGGGUUCUACAAGGCAUUCAUAUAGUUUUCAGUUUAAGUUGUGGAACAUGCUCAACCUGUUUUGGACAGUUUUCAUGUGUGGUUGGGAGUUCAAAGAGCACGUGAAAUCGCGACAAAGAGACAAUCCAAUCAAAUUGAUUGAAUGAUAUGAUUUUACUAGUAAAGGAUGUGUGUAGUGGAUGGAGUUGCUCAGUGAAUUUGGAUUAGUGCUGAACUAACAAUCAUGUAGCGUUGAACAACCUCAUGGUUAAGAAAUAACUUUCAUCACUUGUGUAAAGUUUUCUAAUACAUAUACUCCCUAAAUAUCUGAAAUUCUAUUGAAGUUUGGAAAGAAAACUGACCUAUUCAGAACCUGCAAAUGUUGACUAUAAUUAGUGUUUUUAACUUACUUUUUGUUUAGAGUGUCCGACAUUGAUUGAGGAAAUGGGUUAUUGUAUCCUUAAGGUUUUGAGCAAUCGUUGCCUAUGAG
rnacentral:lncRNA from 1 species